rnacentral:rRNA from 1 species
UACGUAGGGGGCAAGCGUUGUCCGGAAUCAUUGGGCGUAAAGCGCGUGUAGGCGGUUCGAUAAGUCUGCUGUGAAAGUCCAGGGCUCAACCCUGGGAUGCCGGUGGAUACUGUCGAGCUAGAGUACGGAAGAGGCGAGUGGAAUUCCUGGUGUAGCGGUGAAAUGCGCAGAUAUCAGGAGGAACACCUGCGGCGAAGGCGGGUUGCUGGGCUGAUACUGACGCUGAGGCGCGAAAGCCAGGGGAGCGAACGGG